rnacentral:lncRNA from 1 species
AGUUUUGAGACUUUUUUAAUCGACACGAUUGGAAUUUUUGUAUAUGAGAACAUGGUUUAUCUAUUAGUUGAAAAUGCGGCUUUGAACUAGCUUUCAGUACCUGCGAGCAUUCGUUGUUCAAUAAUGUGUGUCUUUGUGUUAUUAUUUUAUGUGAUAAAUUGUUGUGUUGGUACACCACUGUAACAAUGAAGGAGGAAAUGGGGAGGGUUUGUUGGGUGGAAGUGGAGAGGGGUAUGCGGAGCGCUAACAAACAUGUCUAUGCGGCAUGGGCUUUGAUCAUUGUUAAAGCAUCAAUGUAAGGG